UAGUAUUGGAGUUUUUUUGGGGUCAAUAACUAGUAUUUUGACACGUUCUUCCAUUAUAUUUUAAUCUUUUUUUAAUAAGUUGUAUGUGUUGUUAAAAUAUCAAUAUAGUGACCUCACCAUUGUUAUUAUAUGCUUCCAAGUAGAAGUUUCAACAAUAAUUCCAUUGCUUUAAAGUGGUAUUGCAAUUGGCAGUGAAACAACUCUGCAUUUGGCCAAAAUAAGAAUGUUUUACAAUGGCAGUCUCUGUGUUAUGUCUUAUUUUGUGUUAUCAAUUGCGAUCUAAUUGUUGAACCAUCUGACUGCAUUUCUCUAUAUCCUUUUACGUCUGUGUAAUUAUUUUUGCCAAGUGUGCAAGGCAGUUUGGCUCAUCU
rnacentral:misc_RNA from 1 species